rnacentral:misc_RNA from 1 species
AGAAUGAGGCCUGAUCACGUGACGUCAGAUUUCGCUAGAGCGGUUUGAAUGUUCUUGAUAAGAAACUCAAAAUAAACUUCCUUCCCAAUAUUCCUUCCUGGCUUUAUUGACAGAAUAAGGAAUAAACGAACAAUAUCCUUUGCAGAUGGUUCAUUGAUAAGAUAAAGCACCAUGGCUGAAGAUCGGGAAAUUCUGAAGGAGAUCUGGGAGGGAAAACUACCAGUUUGCUUCAACCUGUCAAUGGAUGAAUUAUACACAAUGGACCAACCUGAACCUUAUUAUAUACUUGCACCAAGACAGACCUACUUUCCUCUAAUAACGGAUAAAGUACAGCGUCACUUUAUAAAACACAUUGAACCAGGGAUACAAGAACAAAGCACUGAAAUAUGGCUGGAGUAUGAAGGCAAACCACUAAAAUGGCACUACCCAAUUGGUGUAUUAUUUGAUAUGUUUAACACAGACACCCUGCUGCCAUGGAAUAUAACUGUACAUUUUCAGAAUUUUCCUGAGGAGGAGAUAUUACAUUGCCCUAGCAAAUCAGCGGUAGAGUCCCACUUUAUGUCUACAGUUAAGGAGGCUGAUGCCCUCAAACACAAGUCCCAAGUCAUCAAUAACCUACAGAAGAAAGACCAUAGACAACUCUGGACUGGCCUACAGAAUGAUCGUUUUGACCUGUUCUGGGGCAUUAAUAAGAAGUUGAUGGAAGGAAGCAAUGAUGACACAUUCAAGUAUGUCCCAUAUAGGAUUCACCGUCAGGAUAAGGUGUACUUACAAAAGCUUGUGAAACCCAUGAAAGAUACGGGUCAACAUAUGACCUUGCAUGACCUUCUUAUACAGUUAGAUAUAGCUAGUCAUGAUGAAGAAGCGAAACAGAGGGUUUUGGUACAAGGUAUUACUCCUCCUAUGGAAACAACCUUACUGUGGUUGAGUGAACAUUUUAGUUACCCUGACAAUUUUCUACAUAUCUGCCUUGUGGACAAAUGAUUCAGAAAAUAUGGAUUUCCAGAAUAGUUCACGUUGGUGAUACAGUAAUAUACGAAUGUGGAAGUGGAAUACCUGUGACCCCUCAAAAUAGUGUUUCAUAUUUGCAUAAUCAUGGGAUAUCCUCUGUUGAUAUUGUUAAUACAAAUGAUGUGUUAUCUUGUUAUGUUUUCGGUUAUUCCUACUGCAUCUGGAUUUGUUUUCAAACAUUAACUGAAUGGCAUUGGUAUCGCAACCAUAUACAUGGUUAUCGGCGAGGAUGGUCAACGAUUUGGAAAUAAUCAUUGGAUCCUUGUUUUCAUUCUUAACAGCUUCUUGCAAUCAACAUCAACAAGAGUUCACUAUACUCCCUUGUGCCAAUACUCGUCUAAACUCUGAAAAUGGUAUUACACAAAAUCAUGUGAUAUCACAUGAAUAUAUUUGGCUUGAAGGCUACUUCUAGAUCACCCUGGAAGUCAGAUUCAACUUGUUUUUUAGUUUCAACACACUAAAAUAAAUCAUUGGAACCUCCAUUGCAAAGAUACUAAAAAUCUGCAGUUUUAUUCAUGGGGGAUCUAUGUAUCACCAAUAUUUUGAAACUUGUGCAAGUUGAACACCCUUGGUUCCCCCCUAAUAAAUUAAUAAUCAAUGGUUCAUGGGACUCUGAAGUGUUCAUCUUACAAAAGUGUUCCACUUAUAAAGGUGUUCAACUUGACAGGUUUUAUUAUGUCACCACCACAAG